rnacentral:rRNA from 1 species
UACGAAGGGGGCUAGCGUUGCUCGGAAUCACUGGGCGUAAAGCGCACGUAGGCGGACUCUUAAGUCGGUGGUGAAAUCCUGGAGCUCAACUCCAGAACUGCCUUCGAUACUGGAAAGCUCGAGUCCGGGAGAGGUGAGUGGAACUGCGAGUGUAGAGGUGAAAUUCGUAGAUAUUCGCAAGAACACCAGUGGCGAAGGCGGCUCACUGGCCCGGUACUGACGCUGAGGUGCGAAAGCGUGGGGAGCAAACAGG